GGUUCAAUAGUCAAUACCAGUGUUGUGAGAAAAUUCCUUACGGUUGUUGUAUUUUGGUAGCUUCUUCUUUUGCAAGUGGCAAAUUACUGUUAUGUAUAUGUGGAAUCCUAUUAAAUCUGUGCAUUGGUUUCAGUCAUACUUUUCUAAAUGGAGUAUAGUUCAAGACUGUUUUGUUCAUUAAAUCAUUCCUUCUACCUUCCAAGUGUGUCGUUGGCACACCUCAAAUUACUUCUACUUAUACAUGUAUUCAAUGUUUGGCGGCUCGAUCCGCUCCUGGAUCGGGAGAGGAGGAAGGGAGGUGGGGGCCGGCCGUCUCUGUGCCUCCUCGACGCCGAGCUGCGGCUGCUCCGUGUGUGCGCGCUCUCUCUCUCUCAGAUAAGGAGAACUUUAACCUUGCGCCCACCUAUGGCAAUAUUGCCCUCUUUAUAUUCUCCCUCGCUCAUCAGCAGCAGCGAUGGUGGCGUCAUUGUCGGCCUUGCAGCAUGUGGCAUAAUCAUGUCCAUUGCCUACUCUGGGGCAGAUCUUUGAAAGUUCCAAGUUGGUUAAUGUUGAUUUUUGCUCAUGCACAACCCAUCAUAGGAAUUAGUAGGAUCCUCUUCGAUGGAUGUAAGGACUGCAACAGGUUUCUUUCAGCAGCCUGGGGUUGUUAAGAAGAGGGUCGGGAUUGCUCUGGGCAGAUGCUUAAAUUCCUGGAUGUAAACGCACACUUGUCUCCUACACAGGCCAAAAUACUAUUGGAGAUAAGGAUACCCGC